UGCCAGUCACCAGCAGAAGCAGCAGCAUGGAAGGAGAGACGCACCCGCGUUGCCUCCUAACUUUAGGCCCCGGCCGCAAAAAGAGAACCACAGCGGGACUGAAACGAUCCCGACCGGCCAAGAAAUUAAAUCCCAUGGAGGCCUGCUGCAGUUGGCACCUGGAUGAUUUGCAUGAUUGAAAUCCAGACGUGGACUUUGCAUUGAAGAUGGCCGCCCCCUGGAUACGAGGAAACAUGAUGCUGGUACAGCUGAAAGUGGAAAGACUGGGGGAAUGGAGCCUCACUGGUUUUAAGAUCUGAUCGGAGGCUGCAGGGAUUCAAAUGGUCCUGAGAUCAAAGUACUUGACGUUGGCUCUCUUUAGCUUUGCUUGCUGAUCAGCGGUUGCAGAUGGUCCUCAGAAUCGAAAUUCUUGUUGACACGGGAGCUUGUUGUUGUCUUUGCUUGCUGAUCAGAGGCUGCAGGGACUCAAAUGGUCCUGAGAUCAAAGCUCUUGCCGUUGUCUCUUUAGCUUCGCUUGCUGGCUCCCCCGACACCAGAUGACUGCCGCCCUCAAGCAAACCCCAAGAACUGAAUACAAAUGUUUGCUGUAUUUGCUUCAAUAUUAUUCCAUCUUUUGUCUGAAUAAACGAUGACUCUGAACUGA